AUGAGCGGAAGCAAACCCAGGAGGGCCCUGAAGAGAGUCAGGUUGGAAUGUCCCUUCACUGCAUUUGUCUCAUAUUACAUCAUGGCCAGAUUGAAGCUGUGCUACUUGGGCAGAGGUAUCACCAAGUCACUACAUCUGGCUUUCAUGCAAUCAGGGAAUUUAUUCCAUCAUUGGUGAUGAUAAGUUCAACUGCCUGAUGUAGGUAGUGACCACAAGACUUCUCAUUAUAAAGGUAUGUUGUUUCUCUAAGAUUAAUAAAUGUUUUGUGGGGGAGGUACUUUGAAGCUGUGUAAAUACUCCAUUUCUUGACAAAAUUUUAAUUAUUUAUUUAUAUUUGC
rnacentral:lncRNA from 1 species